rnacentral:rRNA from 1 species
ACCCGACUGCUAUCGGAUUGGGAUUUAGCCAUGUUAGUUUUGCGUUUCUGGCUACAGGCGCGCAGCGCACGGCUCAGUAACACGUAGUCAACCUGCCCUGGAGACGCGGACAAGCCCGGGAAACUGGGAGUAAUCCGUGAUAGAUGACCUCAUCUGGAAGGAGAAGUCGUCGAAAAGAGCGCACGGGUAUGCUCCGUGCGAUUCGCUCCAGGAUGGGACUGCGGCCGAUCAGGCUGUUGGCGGGGUAAUGGCCCACCAAACCUGUAACCGGUACGGGCUUUGAGAGAAGGAGCCCGGAGAUGGACACUGAGACAAGGGUCCAGGCCCUACGGGGCGCAUCAGGCGCGAAAACUUCGCAAUGCGCGAAAGCGUGACGAGGCUAGUCCGAGUGCUUCCUGCUAAAGGGAGCUUUUCUCGGCUGUAAAUAGGCCGGGGAAUAAGGGGAGGGCAAGUCUGGUGUCAGCCGCCGCGGUAAUACCAGCUCCUCGAGUGGUCGGGACGAUUAUUGGGCCUAAAGCACCCGUAGCCGGUUCCGUAAGUCCUCUGUUAAAUCCAGUCGCUCAACGGCUGGCCUGCAGAGGAUACUGCAGGACUAGGAGGCGGGAGAGGCGGACGGUACUCCGCGUGUAGGGGUAAAAUCCUUUGAUCCGCGGA